rnacentral:rRNA from 1 species
AUACGGGGGGUGCAAGCGUUAUUCGGAUUUAUUGGGCGUAAAGAGCGCGUAGGCGGCUUGGUAAGUCAGAUGUGAAAGCCCGGGGCUCAACCCCGGAAGUGCAUUUGAAACUAUCAGGCUUGAGUACGGGAGAGGGAAGUGGAAUUCCUGGUGUAGAGGUGAAAUUCGUAGAUAUCAGGAGGAACACCGGUGGCGAAGGCGACUUCCUGGACCAAUACUGACGCUGAGGCGCGAAGGCGUGGGGAGCAAACAGGAUUAGAAACCCGAGUAGUCC